UACGUAGGGUGCGAGCGUUAAUCGGAAUUACUGGGCGUAAAGCGUGCGCAGGCGGUUUUGUAAGCCAGGCGUGAAAUCCCCGGGCUCAACCUGGGAAUGGCAUUUGGGACUGCAAGGCUGGAGUGUGGCAGAGGAGACUGGAAUUCCUGGUGUAGCAGUGAAAUGCGUAGAUAUCAGGAGGAAUACCGAUGGCGAAGGCAGGUCUCUGGGCUGACACUGACGCUCAUGCACGAAAGCGUGGGGAGCAAACAGG
rnacentral:rRNA from 1 species